rnacentral:rRNA from 1 species
UUUACACAUGCAAGUCGAACGGUAACAGGGUGCUUGCACCGCUGACGAGUGGCGAACGGGUGAGUAAUGCGUCGGAACGUGCCGAGUAGUGGGGGAUAACGCAGCGAAAGUUGUGCUAAUACCGCAUACGUACUGAGGUAGAAAGUGGGGGACCUUCGGGCCUCACGCUAUUCGAGCGGCCGACGUCUGAUUAGCUAGUAGGUGAGGUAAAGGCUCACCUAGGCGACGAUCAGUAGCGGGUCUGAGAGGAUGAUCCGCCACACUGGGACUGAGACACGGCCCAGACUCCUACGGGAGGCAGCAGUGGGGAAUUUUGGACAAUGGGCGAAAGCCUGAUCCAGCCAUGCCGCGUGUCUGAAGAAGGCCUUCGGGUUGUAAAGGACUUUUGUCAGGGAGGAAAUCCCUAGCGUUAAUACCGCUGGGGGAUGACAGUACCUGAAGAAUAAGCACCGGCUAACUACGUGCCAGC